rnacentral:rRNA from 1 species
GACGAACGCUGGCGGCGUGCUUAACACAUGCAAGUCGAGCGGUAAGGCCCUUUCGGGGGUACACGAGCGGCGAACGGGUGAGUAACACGUGGGUGACCUGCCCUCAGCUCUGGGAUAAGCCUGGGAAACCGGGUCUAAUACUGGAUAUGACUCCAUGACGCAUGUUGUGGGGUGGAAAGCCUUGUGCGGCUGAGGAUGGGCCCGCGGCCUAUCAGCUUGUUGGUGGGGUGAUGGCCUACCAAGGCGACGACGGGUAGCCGGCCUGAGAGGGCGACCGGCCACACUGGGACUGAGACACGGGCCCAGACUCCUACGGGAGGCAGCAGUGGGGAAUCUUGCGCAAUGGGCGAAAGCCUGACGCAGCGACGCCGCGUGAGGGAUGACGGCCU